UACGAAGGGGGCGAGCGUUGUUCGGAUUUACUGGGCGUAAAGGGCGCGUAGGCGGCGGGCCAAGUCGAGUGUGAAAGCCCCGGGCUCAACCUGGGAGGUGCGCUCGAGACUGGUUUGCUGGAGUUCGGGAGAGGAGCGUGGAAUUCCCAGUGUAGAGGUGAAAUUCGUAGAUAUUGGGAAGAACACCGGUGGCGAAGGCGGCGCUCUGGACCGAGACUGACGCUGAGGCGCGAAGGCGUGGGGAGCAAACAGG
rnacentral:rRNA from 1 species